rnacentral:rRNA from 1 species
AACGAACGCUGGCGGCAGGCCUAACACAUGCAAGUCGAGCGAAGUCUUCGGACUUAGCGGCGAACGGGUGAGUAACGCGUGGGAAUGUACCCUGGGGUGCGGAACAACAGUUGGAAACGACUGCUAAUACCGCAUGAUGUCUACGGACCAAAGAUUUAUCGCCCUGGGAUCGGCCCGCGUUGGAUUAGGUUGUUGGUGGGGUAAUGGCCUACCAAGCCGACGAUCCAUAGCUGGUUUGAGAGGACGACCAGCCACACUGGGACUGAGACACGGCCCAGACUCCUACGGGAGGCAGCAGUGGGGAAUCUUAGACAAUGGGCGCAAGCCUGAUCUAGCCAUGCCGCGUGAACGAUGAAGGCCUUAGGGUUGUAAAGUUCUUUCACCGGUGACGAUAAUGACGGUAGCCGGAGAAGAAGCCCCCGGCUAACUCCGUGCCAGCCGCCGCGGUAAU